rnacentral:lncRNA from 1 species
GCCAAUAAAAGGGGAGAAGAAGUGUGAUAAGGAGGACAGUGACAAAUUCUAUUUCAGAAGGGAAGAAAAUAAGGUCCAGUGUGUUGGGUCUUAUGAUCCUGAAGAGCUUAUGGCUCCUCAGUGUGUCUGUCUCUGUGUCUCUCUUUCUGUCAGUCUCCUUCUCCCACCCCCACCUCUGAUUCUUUUGACAUUCUCUAUACCCUCCCACCCCUAGUCAACAGGGAAACCAGAUAGAGGCCAUCUGGAAGACUAAUGUGGCCUCCUCCAGUCACGCAAUAGAAAAAAAGACCCUGUCAGUCUGUCCUGGGACCAGCUAGGCAGAUACCCAGAUAUCCCCUGGCUUUUGGUGCAGGAUAUACCUUCCUCCCACCACAGAAGCUUGAUGUCCCCCAAGACCUGGUAAGGUGCAAGGCUGAGUACUUAACCUGGAGACCUGCCCACCAAGGACACACUGUCCCUGUCCAACAGUCCAGGCAAUCUCUUUCUAAACAUUAGUAAUGGCCUCAUUUUUUUGUGCUACAUCAGAUAAGAAAGGCUAACUUGUCUCAAUUCACUAGCCAUCAACUAGCCAUACCAACACCAGUUCUCUUAAAGGCUUUCCAUAGUACUCUGAAGAUUACUGCAGGGGUAUCAUCUUCACAGGUUUCCUAGGCUGCACAUGAAUUUCUAAAGAGCCAUAUUCUAGCCCUUUACCUGGGGGUUAUUCUCAGGAAGAGCAAGUAGAGGAAUGGAGAGAUUUAGGGAGACCAUGAAUUGCAUGAUAAACUUGAGAUCUGGACCUAUCUUUAUUAUUUUCAUUUCUUUAUUGCCUUUGAGAAUUGUCCCAAGAAGAAUACCUAAGGCGAGUGUGGCAGAUCUCAGUAGGCCAGCAGGAGGACUUUCUGGUUAGAACAGGUUCAGUUCUCCUGUGCCUCUCCUGGAUUAAAGACAUCAAUAUUCAGACUCAAGGCUCUUCCAAGGGACCUUUCCAGAUUAACCAUUCCAUCUGCCUCUUGUGGCCCUGUACCUACCCCAAUUAAAGAUCUCUGACAGAGAAACAGCUCUGAUGGCUGCCAGUCUAACCUAACCAGAACCAAGAUGCUAGUGCUGCUUCAUCCUCCCAAUGGAGACUUAGGUAAGACAUAGUAGUUGAGCAAUAUCAGAGAAAGCAAUGCCUUGGCUGUACCUCUGCUCUGAAAUGGGUCUGAGCUUACCAGUUGGAACCAGCUUGAAAGCCCUAGUGCGGGUACCUGGUGUCCACUUCCAAAGGGGAGUGUGUGUGUGUUUGUGUGUGUUACUGUUGUUGUUAGUUGAUUUGGAUACAGCAAACAGAAUUAAGAAUGACCAAAAC